rnacentral:rRNA from 1 species
UACAGAGGUCUCAAGCGUUGUUCGGAUUCAUUGGGCGUAAAGGGUGCGUAGGCGGCGCGGUAAGUCGGGUGUGAAAUCUCGGGGCUUAACUCCGAAACUGCAUUCGAUACUGCCGUGCUUGAGGACGGGAGAGGAGAGCGGAAUUCCCGGUGUAGCGGUGAAAUGCGUAGAGAUCGGGAAGAAGGCCGGUGGCGAAGGCGGCUCUCUGGAACGUUCCUGACACUGAGGCACGAAAGCGUGGGGAGCAAACAGG